rnacentral:rRNA from 1 species
AACCUGCCGGUGGAUCAAUACUGAAUUUACGGCUCUUUGAUGAUGCUUUACGUUCGGUACGAUCNUUGCGAUCAACAACCCCCCAAACUAAAACGGUCCACCAUUGGCGUCUAAACAUGCUGCUAACGCUCGUCAACCGUCGACGCGUAUCGAUCAGCAUGCUUAGCAUUCACACACAACACUUUCACGAGUGUUGAGUGGAUGUAGACUUAAUGAAUAUCUGCGCCGGAUAUCGCCAAUAAAACAUUUCUGUUGUUCAUUUAGAAAACAUACACACACAAAUUACUACUCCUAGUGGUGGAUCACUCGGCUCGCAGGUCGAUGAAGAACGCAGCUAGCUGCGAUAGUUGGUGCGAAUUGCAAACACAUUGAGCACUAAAAUUUCGAACGCAUAUUGCGCCGUCGGUUUUUCCGUCGGCAGGUCUGUCUGAGGGUUACAAACAAGUACUUGCAAAAUAACCGCUAGCAUGUUGCGGCGUUUUGUUUAACGAGAAGCUCGGUACGAUCUUCGUGUAUCGUCCUUCUCUGGCACAUUGUGAUUCGCAAUGAUAUAUGAAUCACCUAAUUCACCUAACACGUGCAACUAGUGUUUGUUGUGAAUGUGUUAUGGGUGGUUUUGAUAUGUCAUUUUACGAUUGCAACCUCAGAUCAGUCCUGAUUACCCGCUGAAUUUAAGCAUAUCAGUAAGCGGAGGAAAAGAAACUAACUAUGAUUCCUUUAGUAACAGCGAGUGAACGAGGAAGAGCCCAGCGCUGAAUCUUUCGGUCUAUGGCCGCUAAGAGUUGUAGCGUAUAGGUGUAGCUUUCUACGGCCGAUGUAUACUCAAAGUCCCUUUGAUUGGGGCCACAGUCCUGAGAAGGUGCAAGACCUGUACGAGUUGCAUUGUGUUGUAGUCGGUUGCUCCUUGGAGUCGGGUUGCCUGAGAACGCAGCCUGAAUUGGGUGGUAAACUCCAUCUAAGGCUAAAUAGUACUGCGAGUCCGAUAGCAAACAAGUACCGUGAGGGAAAGUUGCAAAGAACUUUGAAGAGAGAGUUCAAGAGUGCGUGAAACCACUGGGAUGGAAACGGAUAGAGUUGACGAAUUGGGCGAUAUUCAGCUGUUUUGCGUGAGCAAAGUGGUGUACUUAUCGUCUGUGUGCGCUGAGAAUCUUGAUUGAACAUUCUGAACCGUCGUGCUGUUGCCCGUCGUCUCACGACGAUGGUGUCUUGUGCGUGCGGGUUGGGAUGUUUCGACUAAGUUGUUUCGGUGUGAAAGUCGACCACCUAUCCGACCCGUCUUGAAACACGGACCAAGGAGUCUAGCGUAUGUGCGAGUCAUUGGGUGGUAAACCUAUUGGCGUAACGAAAGUAAAGGUCGUUUUUUGCGGCUGAUAUGGGAUCCGUACGGUUUCGGCCGUGCGGCGCACCAUAGCCCUGUCUCGAAGGCUUGCCUUGAGAUGGAGGUAGAGCGCAUGCGCUAGGACCCGAAAGAUGGUGAACUAUACGUGAGCAGGAUGAAGCCGGAGGAAACUCUGGUGGAAGUCCGUAACGGUUCUGACGUGCAAAUCGAUCGUCUGACUUGCGUAUAGGGGCG